rnacentral:sRNA from 1 species
GUCUCCUCCAACAUGCCAUGGUUCAAGGGAUGGGCCGUUGAGCGCAAGGAAGGAAACGCUUCCGGAAAGACCCUCCUCGAGGCUCUCGACUCCAUCAUUCCACCACAACGCCCAACUGACCGACCACUCCG